rnacentral:rRNA from 1 species
CUCGUAGGUGGUUUGUCGCGUUGUUCGUGAAAACUCACAGCUUAACUGUGGGCGUGCGGGCGAUACGGGCAGACUAGAGUACUGCAGGGGAGACUGGAAUUCCUGGUGUAGCGGUGGAAUGCGCAGAUAUCAGGAGGAACACCGGUGGCGAAGGCGGGUCUCUGGGCGGUAACUGACGCUGAGGAGCGAAAGCGUGGGGAGCGAACA